ACUCAAAUGAAUAGACGGGGGCCCGCACAAGCAGCGGAGCGUGUGGUUUAAUUCGAUGCAACGCGAAGAACCUUACCAAGGCUUGACAUGCUAGAAGUAGAAACUUGAAAGAGGAACCACCUGUAUCCAGUCAGGAGCUAGCACAGGUGCUGCAUGGCUGUCGUCAGCUCGUGCCGUGAGGUGUUAGGUUAAGUCCUGCAACGAGCGCAACCCUCAUUGCUAGUUGAAUUCUCUAGCGAUACUGCCCGUAUAACGUGGAGGAAGGUGAGGAUGACGUCAAGUCAGCAUGGCCCUUACGCCUUGGGCUACACACACGCUACAAUGGAUGAUACAGAGGGUCGCUAAGAAGCGAUUCGGAGCUAAUCCUUAAAAUCAUCCUCAGUUCAGAUUGUAGACUGAAACUGUCUACAUGAAGUAGGAGUUGCUAGUAACCGCAGGUCAGCACACUGCGGUGAAUACGUUCUCGGGCCUUGUACACACCGCCCGU
rnacentral:rRNA from 1 species